rnacentral:rRNA from 1 species
AUGUUGACUUAUUUAGUGAAGCUUGUAGCUUCUUUUUCAAGUGUAGAGUGUAUCUCUUCAGCAACUGAGCUCUUUUUCCCGCAGGCCAUGAUUCUUUUUAACAAAACACAGGAGGGCUGCCGUUCCAACAAUAGAAAAGGAUUAUAUCAUACAAAAACUUGCCAAGAGCAAGCGCAAGAGAAAAAAACACUAAGCCAAUUACUCCAAGAGGAAAAAACAACUACUCAAAUAGUCAAACCCGUCCUCAACCAACAUACCAGCUGCCUAAUGGAAACAGCAGAACUGUGCAUUGAUCAUUGCCAAACUACAGUUAAAAGUUAUUAG